CAUACCUCAUGCAACAGUCUUCUUUCUCUUCCCAGACAGUGCUGCCCAAAUGCUUUAAUUCCUCUUUACCAUUGAUUCUAAUAUCAAGAUCUUUUCCCUGGAGACAUAUUAACAGUAGUAGUACUUAUGAUAAAAAUGCUACCAACUAUCUACAAAGUACAUGCCAUGGAUGAACAGUGUGCUGAAUAAUUCAUCCAUACAUGUAGCUCUACCAACGUUCACAGCAGAUCUAUGGGAAGAGAUAAGAGCUAUUAAUAACUUGAUUUUUUUCAGAUGAAAGUGGAGGUAUAUAGAAGUAUCAUAAGCUUGUUCAUUGUUGUAAAAGCAACAAUUAGUCAGGUCUGAGAGUUGAACCAAAGCCUUAACAAUUGAGCUUCUUCAUUCACGACUUAAACCUUUUGCUCUUUAGAACCUACAUUCCUCUAGAGGUAAUUGUAAUCAUGAAGAAUGAUGACGGGAACCUUCUCUCUAUGGAUUAAUAUGCUACUGAACAUUCCUGCAUGUCUAGUUGGUCCCUUGGAGUAACAUGAGGCUGUCUCCUUCAUAACAAGAUGAGUAAUAGAAGGAACAAAAUGUCUACAGAUCCGGGGAGAGCUUCGCAGAGGUUCUUUUCUCACAAUCUGCUCCUCAGUGGUAUCUCCUGUCACAGAAGGUCCUGCCCUUCUUGUCAACAUCUAUGAGCAUAUUCUUUCAUCCAAAUUAAUUAUAAUUAUUUUCAAAGUAAACAAAGAGUUUAAACUUUAAAUUCACUGAAGAAAUUCCAGCAUAUAUCAUAUUA
rnacentral:sRNA from 1 species